GGCGCCCAUACUCUGGCAACNGNGCGUGGGAUGCCGGAAAGUUGGUCAAACUUGAUCAUUUAGAGGAAGUAAAAGUCGUAACAAGGUUUCCGUAGGUGAACUUGCGGAAGGAUCAUUACGGACAUUGCAUUAAGCACUAUGCCGUGUGAACCGUCGUCGUGAAUCCUCAUAUUCAGGGGUCGGCGCUGGGCUGCCUGCGUGCUUGCCGUUAAAUGGCCAUCGGACGCGACCAGGGUCUCCCGAGGACGGGCAGUCUCUUUCUGUUGCGGCCGCUUGGCCUGCCCCGCCUGUGUUUUGGUUUUUGAACCGCAACCUUACGUGUCUUAAAGUUUGAUGUAGGUCGAGCCCUGCCUGCGCGGCUCGGCUCGACCGUGGAAGCAAAAAAACAUUGCCAGAGACAACUUUUGACGGUGGAUCUCUUGGCUCACGCAUCGAUGAAGAACGCAGCCAGCUGCGAUAAGUAGUGUGAAUUGCAGAAUUCAGUGAAUCAUCGAAUCUUUGAACGCAAAUGGCGCUCUUGGGUUCUCCCAGGAGCAUGUCUGUCUGAGUGUCGGAUCCACAUCCAUCGCCGGGGCGCCUUGCGCGCUCCGGCGGCGUUGGGGCGUCACGGCACCUCGGGGCCGUGUCCCUCGAAGGGCAGAGCGACUCGCUGUGGUUGGGGGGCUGGUUCCCGCAGCGCACCAGCGGAGGCCAAACGCUGUCGGUGCACUCCUCCGCGCGCUGCCGGGAUUCCCCGCCGCGACGAGCUCGCGUGUAAAGCGAGAAAGAGAAGAAGGUCGCGUGUAAAGCGUGCACCACUUCUCCUCUGACCUCAGAUCAGC
rnacentral:sRNA from 1 species